rnacentral:sRNA from 1 species
AACAUAUAUACAUGUGUAUCUAUAGGGGUGUUAAAAUGGGUAACCCAACUCAACUCAACUCAUAAUCAAAUGAGUUUAGGGUUAAAUGAAUGGGUUGACCCAACUCAUUUUGUUAAAUGGGUUGGGUCAACCCAUAACUCAUUUAAUUUGAUGGGUUGAGUUGUUAAAUAGAUUAACCCAUUUAAGUAAUAAUUUAAUUAAUUAUUAUUAUAAAAUAAUAAUAAAUAAUUAUCAUUAUUAAUAAUUAUUAAUUCAUUAUCAUCAAACUUAGAAUAUUUACGGAUUCCACUUUUUACGGGUUUACGUUUUCGGCGAGAAAAUUAUGGGUUUAGGUUUUUUGGCGGGAAAAUCACGAGUUAACGUUUUUGGCGGGAAAAUUACAAGUUUACAUUUUCGGCGGGAAAAUCACGGGUUUACGUUUUUGGCGGGAAAAUCACGGGUUUACGUUUUUGGCGGGAAAAUCAUGGGUUUAUGUUUUUUGGCGGGAAAAUCACGAGUUUACGUUUUUGGCGGGAAAAUUACAAUAUUACGUUUUUGGCGGAAAAAUUACGGGUUUUCGUUUUUGGCGGGAAAAUCACAGGUUUACAUUUUUUGGCGGGAAAAUUACGGAUUUACGUUUUUGGCGGGAAAAUUACGGACUUACGUUUUUGGCGGGACAAUCACGGGUUUUCGUUUUAUGCGGAAAAUUCACGGAUUUACGUUUUUGGCGGGAAAAUCACGAGUUUAUGUUUUUUGUUGAGAAAAUCAUGAGUUUUCGUUUUUGGCUGGAAAAUCACGGGUUUAUGUUUUUGGCGGGAAAAUCACGGGUUUAUGUUUUUUGGUGGGAAAUCACGGGUUUACUUUUUCUCAAUUUCAUCGCUUGUAUAUUUAAGAAAUUUGGAAA